GGAGUGAAAAGGGUGACAGGUGCACCAAUGAAGUCGUGAGUUAAAGUGAUUAAGUAUUUAGGCAUGGAAGUGUGUGCUUUCAUACUUUAUAGGGAGGGGGAAGUGAUGAGGUUAAGUUGUGGAUUGAUGAUUGAUAUGGUUUGACACUAUUCAUUGUAGAUUCAUUGAUGAAUUGGUAUGGUGGAUGAGCACAUCGAAGCUAUGGGAGUGAAAAGGGUGAGAGGUGCACCAAUGAAGUCGUGAGUUAAAGUGAUUAAGUAUUUAGG
rnacentral:misc_RNA from 1 species